rnacentral:rRNA from 2 species
UUGCCCUAGUAACGGCGAGUGAAGCGGCAACAGCUCAAAUUUGAAAUCUGGCCUCGGCCCGAGUUGUAAUUUGUAGAGGAAGCUUUUGGCGCGGCACCUUCUGAGUCCCCUGGAACGGGGCGCCAUAGAGGGUGAGAGCCCCGUAUAGUUGGAUGCCUAGCCUCUGUAAAGCUCCUUCGACGAGUCGAGUAGUUUGGGAAUGCUGCUCAAAACGGGAGGUAAAUUUCUUCUAAAGCUAAAUACCGGCCAGAGACCGAUAGCGCACAAGUAGAGUGAUCGAAAGAUGAAAAGCACUUUGAAAAGAGGGUUAAAUAGCACGUGAAAUUGUUGAAAGGGAAGCGCUUGUGACCAGACUUGCGCCGGGCUGAUCAUCCGGUGUUCUCACCGGUGCACUCUGCCCGGCUCAGGCCAGCAUCGGUUCUCGCGGGGGGAUAAAGGCCCUGGGAACGUAGCUCCUCCGGGAGUGUUAUAGCCCAGGGCGCAAUGCCCUCGCGGGGACCGAGGUUCGCGCUCUGCAAGGAUGCUGGCGUAAUGGUCACCAGCGACCCGUCUUGAAACACGGACCAAGGAGUCAAGGUUUUGCGCGAGUGUUUGGGUGUAAAACCCGCACGCGUAAUGAAAGUGAACGUAGGUGAGAGCUUCGGCGCAUCAUCGACCGAUCCUGAUGUAUUCGGAUGGAUUUGAGUAGGAGCGUUAAGCCUUGGACCCGAAAGAUGGUGAACUAUGCUUGGAUAGGGUGAAGCCAGAGGAAACUCUGGUGGAGGCUCGCAGCGGUUCUGACGUGCAAAUCGAUCGUCAAAUCUGAGCAU